UACGUAGGGGGCGAGCGUUGUCCGGAAUCAUUGGGCGUAAAGAGCUCGUAGGCGGCUCAGUAAGUCGGCUGUGAAAUCCCGAGGCUCAACCUCGGAACUGCAGUCGAUACUGCUGUGGCUAGAGUCAGGUAGAGGAGAAUGGAAUUCCCGGUGUAGCGGUGGAAUGCGCAGAUAUCGGGAGGAACACCAGUAGCGAAGGCGGUUCUCUGGGCCCGUACUGACGCUGAGGAGCGAAAGCGUGGGUAGCAAACAGGAUUAGAUACCCCCGUAGUCC
rnacentral:rRNA from 1 species